AUACGGAGGGUGCAAGCGUUAAUCGGAAUUACUGGGCGUAAAGCGCUCGUAGGCGGUUUGUUAAGUCGGAUGUGAAAGCCCCGGGCUCAACCUGGGAACUGCAUUCGAUACUGGCAAACUAGAGUAUAGUAGAGGCAAGUGGAAUUCCGGGUGUAGCGGUGAAAUGCGUAGAUAUCCGGAGGAACAUCAGUGGCGAAGGCGACUUGCUGGACUAAUACUGACGCUGAGGAGCGAAAGCGUGGGGAGCAAACAGGAUUAGAAACCCCUGUAGUCC
rnacentral:rRNA from 1 species